CAACGCCGCGUGGGGAUGAAGCUUCUCCGGAGGUGUAAAACCCCUUUCGUACCCGGAAGAAGUGCCCGCAAGGGUUUGACGGUACGGUAUAAGAAGCCCCGGCUAACUACGUGC
rnacentral:rRNA from 1 species